GUGAGGAAUUUUCCACAAUGGACGAAAGUCUGAUGGAGCGACGCCGUGUGUGCGAUGAAGUCCUUCGGGAUGUAAAGCACUGUCAGUGGGGACGAUAUUGACGGUACCCACAGAGGAAGGCCCGGCUAACUACGUGCCAGCAGCCGCGGUAAUACGUAGGGGCCAAGCGUUGUCCGGAAUCAUUGGGCGUAAAGGGCGCGUAGGCGGCCCGGUAAGUCGGAUGUUAAAUCCACAGGCUCAACCUGUGGCCGCAUCCGAUACUGCCAGGCUAGAGAAUGGUAGAGGAAAGCGGAACUUCCGGUGUAGCGGUGAAAUGCGUAGAUAUCGGAAGGAACACCAGUGGCGAAGGCGGCUUUCUGGGCCAUUUCUGACGCUGAGGCGCGAAAGCCAGGGGAGCAAACGGGAUUAGAAACCCGUGUAGUCC
rnacentral:rRNA from 1 species